rnacentral:rRNA from 1 species
UACGGGGGGGGGGGGGGGGGCAAGCGUUUUGUUCGGAAUUUACUGGGGGCGUAAAGGGGGGGCUCGUAGGCGGCCAACUAAGUCAGACGUGAAAUCCCCCCCAGGCUCAACCUGGGGGGAACUGCGUCUGAUACUGGAUGGCUUUGAAUCCGGGGGGAGAGAUGCAGAAUUCCAGGGGUGUAGCGGUGAAAUGCGUAGAUAUCUGGGAGG